rnacentral:tRNA from 1 species
GCCGCCGUAGCUCAGCACGGUAGUAGCAGCUGGCUGUUAACCAGUUGGUCGUCGGUUCAAAUCCGACCGGCGGCGCCA